rnacentral:rRNA from 1 species
GAUGAACGCUGGCGGCGUGCUUAACACAUGCAAGUCGAACGGAAAGGCCCAAGCUUGCUUGGGUACUCGAGUGGCGAACGGGUGAGUAACACGUGGGUGAUCUGCCCUGCACUUCGGGAUAAGCCUGGGAAACUGGGUCUAAUACCGGAUAGGACCACUUCUUGGAUGUUGUGGUGGAAAGUUUUUUCGGUGUGGGAUGAGCUCGCGGCCUAUCAGCUUGUUGGUGGGGUAAUGGCCUACCAAGGCGUCGACGGGUAGCCGGCCUGAGAGGGUGUACGGCCACAUUGGGACUGAGAUACGGCCCAGACUCCUACGGGAGGCAGCAGUGGGGAAGAUUGCACAAUGGGCGCAAGCCUGAUGCAGCGACGCCGCGUGGGGGAUGACGGCCUUCGGGCUGUAAACUCCUUUCGCUAGGGACGAAGCGUUUUGUGACGGUACCUGGAGAAGAAGCACCGGCUAACUACGUG